rnacentral:rRNA from 1 species
UACGUAGGGUGCAAGCGUUAAUCGGAAUUACUGGGCGUAAAGCGUGCGCAGGCGGUUAUGCAAGACAGAUGUGAAAUCCCCGGGCUUAACCUGGGAACCGCAUUUGUGACUGCAUAGCUGGAGUACGGCAGAGGGGGAUGGAAUUCCGCGUGUAGCAGUGAAAUGCGUAGAUAUGCGGAGGAACACCGAUGGCGAAGGCAGUCCCCUGGGCCUGUACUGACGCUCAUGCACGAAAGCGUGGGGAGCAAAUAGG